rnacentral:lncRNA from 1 species
UUGUCUUGUUCGAUGUCGAUGUUGUUUGAAGGUUCUUGAUCACCGCCGCAUUGAUUUGCCCCUUUUUGUUUAUGACCGUAGGUCGUUUCGAGGCCAUUUAAGUUUGACGCUUCCUCCCGAUGCUCGAGCUUGGGGACCCGAACUUCUCAUUACUUUGAGGGAGUCGAUUUCUCCUCGGCCUGUGUUGAGCUCUCUCUUAGCGACUGAGGAUUUUUGAUAGGAGUAUCCUUCCUCGUUGAGACGAGAUCCAUUGUGUCUUUGAUGUAGUUUGUUUUUCGCUUAUCGCUGGGGUAGUUCGUCGCCUUCCCUUCUUAUCUUCCUUUUUCUUUUUAUUUGGGUGAGGAUUUUCUCUUUAGACGAGGAUUUUUCCUCUGCUCUUAGCAGGAUUGUGGGGAUGUAAAGAAGCCGCUGAGGAAGCUUUUCUCCUCAUUCGGUCUUGAUCAACCGAAUCUUUGUUUGUGUUAGGACGAGAUUUUUCUCCUGUCCCCGACAUAGUCAAUUUCAGCUCAUGCUAGAAUGAGGUCCUCCUCCUAUUCCUAACAAGACUGUGGGGGCACAUAAGGACCGUUGCAAGAGCCUCUCCUCCCAUUCGGUCUUUAAGUAACCGGACCUUCGAAUUUGCUCAUGUUAAGACGAGGUUCUCCUCCUGUUCCUAACAAGGUGGUGGGGGCACAUAAGGGCCGUUGCAAGGGCCUCUCUCCCCAUCCGGUCUUUAAGUAAUCGGGCCUUUGACUUUGCUCAUGUUAGGAUGAGGUUCUCCUUCUGUUCCUAACAAGACUGUGGGGGCACAUAAGGGCUAUUGCAAGGGCCUCUCCCUCCAUCCGGUCUUUAAGCAACUGGGCCUUCGACUUUGCUUAUGUUGGGACGAGGUUCUCCUCCUAUUCCUAACAAGGUUGUGGGGGCACAUAAGGACCGUUGCAAGGGCCUCUCCCCCCAUCCGAUCUUUAAGUAACCGGACCUUCGACUUUGCUCAUGUUAGGAUGAGAUUUUUCUCCUGUUCCUAACAUGCUUAAUUUCGAUUGUAUGAGGGAGUUAUUUUCUAUCGUUAUAAGCUCAUGCUAAAGGAAAAAAUAUGCAAAUAUGAAACUUUUAUUUAAGGUAAGGUUAUU